GAGAACUACCAUGUUAUUAAAGUAUUUUUCCUCUUGUCACGUCUCAUCUUGCCUAGGGCACCAGGAGAGCCAGUGCUGCCCCCUCAAAAAAGGUGCAUGAUGCCUCAGGAUAAAAUUAAGUCCAGUCUUGCAUUGAAUAUCCUAUUUCCCUCUGUAACGCACAUUACAGAAAUAAAAUAAUAUUCAACAGCAUUUGAUAUUUAUUUGAAAGGGUAGUUCACCCAAAAAUGAAAACUGUCAUAGGUACUUACCCUCAUACCAUUCCAAACCUGCUGUGUGACACUGAAGGUAUUUUGCAGAAAGAAGAAAAAGUCACAGGUCUGGAACGACAUGAAGGUCAGUAAAUUGACGACAUUUUCAUUUUUGGCUGAACUAUUCCGGUAGGUGUAAGAAACUGAUCCAAUAGCUUGAUCUAGCGAUCUCUCAGAAAGUAUUUUGCCCAAAACGAUCAAUUUUUGUUGUGAAUGGAGCGUUCGUGUUUGUGUUUUCACCUAAAGUUCCAGUGUGAUUUGGACAACAUGUGGCUCUUCUAAAAUGUUGGCGCUAACCAGGUCACUAACUGUGCUUUAGAGCAGGUUUACUUUGCCUGUCAAUGACGCCUCCACGACAUUGAUUUGCACUCACGGCCUGCGCAGAAGACACACUCGUAUCGAUUAGCUGUCUCUAUUCCAUUCCUCAGAAAUCAAUACUGUUUGUGGCUUUGCCAGUCUGCAAUGAUAUAUUUUUGUGAAGCGAUUGGGAUUAAAGACAGCAUUCUACUAGUGAUUGAGGUUAGGUUUACCGUGGUUUGAUGAGGUGGGCGGAGUCUGCGUUUCGAUAACGUGCCAUCGCGUUCGUCACUGAUAAAUAGUUUUGCCGUUGCGCGGCUGUUGUUUAUACCAGCUGAAGCUCAAUGACUCAUGGUGACACAUUGUGAGUAAGCGCACUUGUGCCCAAAAACAACAAACAACGCGGCUGUUCUCAUUUAGACCCAAUUGAAGCGCUCGUUCCACUGCUUGGUGAUGGAAUGACCUGUUAGACGAAAUCUGUUCAACAUUUACUCCAACUGUGCAUUCAUAUCGUUUUCAUCCGCUAUAAAUGGAUUUGUUUGCUGUGGAACUGCAUAAAUUCUCCUCGAAGUUCAAGGUAGCUUCAUCUGGAGGCGUAAAGUUUGCGUGGAGAAAUAUAUAUGUAUUAUAAUACAGUGUUUGCUAGUUGGUGGUUCCAGGCAGUUGCGUGAAACUCCUUUAGGGGGCAGUACAGCUUCACGGUUUUUCCCGUUUAGUUGUAAAGCAUUGUGGACCUAAGCCCAGAUGUGAUCAACUGGAAACAAGAAGUGCACCUACUCUGAGCUACAAGGACGACACAAACCUGGCAGAGGCCCCCUGCGCUCCCUCCUGCCCUGCCUAAUGCCCACCUGCGUGCCCAUCUGCAGAAGAGCCCCACCAGUUGUUCUGUUUGUGUGCCAGGGUGAAUCAAGCCCAUCGGCUCUACUCCCAGGUAAACGCUAAUGGGUGGGAUUCGCAUGCUGAUGGAAUGACGGUUGUCAGGCGGAUUAAAACUAAAGAUGAACCAUGUGGGAGUUUCUUCCAAAGAGCCUGUGGAUAAAUCUCAUUAGCAUACCUGCUCUGUGGAUGGUUGUAAAUUGAACGAAUGACGUGCUGGAGAGGAUGAGGUUGGUUGAAAGCAGAGGGUGAAUAAACAGGCAGACGCAACACCAUAGUGCCACUAAGACCCCACCUGCCCACAAUUAAUCAUUAGAAUAGCACUCUGCUAGUUUUCAUGCCUCAGAAACCAUUAAACAUCUGGUCUCAA